UGAGGAAUAUUGCGCAAUGGGGGCAACCCUGACGCAGCGACGCCGCGUGAGUGAGGAAGGCCUUCGGGUCGUAAAGCUCUGUCAAAGGGAAAGAAGUGCAUGGUGGCUAAUACCUGCCAUGUUUGACGGUACCCUUAAAGGAAGCACCGGCUAACUCCGUGCCAGCAGCCGCGGUAAUACGGAGGGUGCAAGCGUUGUUCGGAAUCACUGGGCGUAAAGGGCGCGUAGGCGGUUUGAUAAGUCAGAUGUGAAAGCCCACGGCUUAACCGUUGAAGUGCAUUGGAAACUGUCAGACUUGAGUAUGAGAGGGGAAAGUGGAAUUCCCGGUGUAGAGGUGAAAUUCGUAGAUAUCGGGAGGAAUACCGGUGGCGAAGGCGACUUUCUGGCUGAAUACUGACGCUGAGGCACGAAAGCGUGGGGAGCAAACA
rnacentral:rRNA from 1 species